AACGAACGCUGGCGGCAUGCCUAACACAUGCAAGUCGAACGAGACCUUCGGGUCUAGUGGCGCACGGGUGCGUAACGCGUGGGAACCUGCCCUUAGGUUCGGAAUAACUCCCCGAAAGGGGUGCUAAUACCGGAUAAUGUCUUCGGACCAAAGAUUUAUCGCCUUUGGAUGGGCCCGCGUUGGAUUAGCUAGUUGGUAGGGUAAAAGCCUACCAAGGCGACGAUCCAUAGCUGGUCUGAGAGGAUGAUCAGCCACACUGGGACUGGGACACGGCCCAGACUCCUACGGGAAGCAGCAGUGGGGAAUAUUGGACAAUGGGCGAAAGCCUGAUCCAGCAAUGCCGCGUGAGUGAUGAAGGCCUUAGGGUUGUAAAGCUCUUUUACCCGGGAUGAUAAUGACAGUACCGGGAGAAUAAGCUCCGGCUAACUCCGUG
rnacentral:rRNA from 1 species